rnacentral:lncRNA from 10 species
UGUGGACUUCUGCUUAUCUGCAUCCACUGGAAGGAAAUCAGUGAAAAGCUUCAAGCUCCUAGGCAAUGAAAGAGCCUAGAUGCCUGAAUGAUUUCAUGGAGCAGAACCAUCACUCUCUUCUACUGAUGAAUCUAUAAUAGACUAUAAGGUGACUGAAAUAAGCCUUUGUUGUUGUUGUUGUUGUCGUAAGUACAGUAUUGAAUUGCCCAUAAUCUUGCAAACCAGGUUUUCAGCCUACAUAUUUCAGACAUGGGAGGAGACUCUCAGUAGUUAUUUGACGUU